rnacentral:rRNA from 1 species
UACGGAGGGUGCAAGCGUUAUCCGGAUUUACUGGGUUUAAAGGGUGCGCAGGCGGAUAUGUAAGUCAGUGGUGAAAUCUCCGGGCUUAACCCGGAAACUGCCGUUGAUACUAUAUAUCUUGAAUGCUGUGGAGGUAAGCAGAAUAUGUCAUGUAGCGGUGAAAUGCUUAGAGAUGACAUAGAACACCAAUUGCGAAGGCAGCUUACUACACAGUUAUUGACGCUGAGGCACGAAAGCGUGGGGAUCAAACAGG